AACGCACAUCGCGCCCUUUGGCAUUCCGAGGGGCAUGCCUGUUCGAGCGUCAUUACACCACUCAAGCCUGGCUUGGUAUUGGGCGACGGGACCACCCCGCGCCUCAAUUGCACCGGCUGGACGACCCGUAUCUCAGCGUUGUGACACAAGUUCGCUGGCGAGAAGGGCGACCCACGCCGUUAAACAGUUCUAUUAUCUCAGGUUGACCUCGGAUCAGGUAGGAAUACCCGCUGAACUUAA
rnacentral:misc_RNA from 1 species